rnacentral:rRNA from 1 species
UACGAAGGGGGCUAGCGUUGUUCGGAAUUACUGGGCGUAAAGCGUGCGCAGGCGGCUGCUCAAGUCAGGGGUGAAAGCCCAGAGCUCAACUCUGGAAUUGCCUUUGAGACUGAGUGGCUUGAGUACGGGAGAGGUGAGUGGAAUUCCCAGUGUAGAGGUGAAAUUCGUAGAUAUUGGGAAGAACACCGGUGGCGAAGGCGGCUCACUGGCCCGGUAACUGACGCUCAUGCACGACAGCGUGGGGAUCAAACAGGGAUUAGACUACCC